rnacentral:rRNA from 1 species
UCGAGAAUCUUCGGCAAUGGGCGAAAGCCUGACCGAGCGACGCCGCGUGCGGGAUGAAGGCCUUCGGGUUGUAAACCGCUGUCAGUGGGGAGGAAAUGCUGGAGGGUACUCCCUUCAGUUUGACCUAUCCGCAGAGGAAGUAACGGGCUAAGUUCGUGCCAGCAGCCGCGGUAACACGAACCGUACGAACGUUAUUCGGAAUCACUGGGCUUAAAGGGUGCGUAGGCGGCCCGGUAAGUUGGGUGUGAAUCCCUCGGCUCACCGAGGAUUGCGCUCAAAACUGCCGGGCUAGAGGAAGUCAGAGGUGAGUGGAACUUAGGGUGGAGCGGUGAAAUGCGUUGAUAUCCUAAGGAACACCAGUGGUGAAAGCGACUCACUGGGGCUUUUCUGACGCUGAGGCACGAAAGCCAGGGGAGCGAACGGGAUUAGAUACCCCGGUAGUCCUGGCCGUAAACGAUGAGCACUGGAUCGGAGACCACUCCAUAGGUUUCUGGUCGUAGCGAAAGUGUUAAGUG